GUCCACGACCACACUACCCUGAACAUGCCUGAUCUCAUGUGAUCUCAGAAGCUAAGCAGGACUGGGCCUGUUUAGUACUUGCAUAGGAGACAAAAUUCUGUCUCAACAUUUUUUUAAAAAAGGUCUGGGUGAUG
rnacentral:rRNA from 1 species